rnacentral:rRNA from 1 species
AUUGAACGCUGGCGGCAGGCCUAACACAUGCAAGUCGAGCGAGCGGCGGACGGGUGAGUAAUGCCUGGGAAUUGCCCAGUCGAGGGGGAUAACAGUUGGAAACGACUGCUAAUACCGCAUACGAUUGGAUUGCCUAGGUGGGAUUAGCUAGUUGGUGAGGUAAUGGCUCACCAAGUCGACGAUCCCUAGCUGGUCUGCGAGGAUGAUCAGCGUGACUGGAACUUAGACACGGUCAAGACUCCUAAGGGAGGCAGCAGUGGGGAAUAUUUCACAAUGGGGGAAACCCUGAUGCAUCCAUGCCGGGUGUGUGAAGAAGGCCUUCGGGGUGUAAAGCACUUUCAGCGAGGAGGCGUUACUCGCAGAAGAAGCACCGGCUAACUCCGGGCCAGCAGCCGAGGUAAUUC